AAAGCGGGGGAGCCUCCGCGCUCCCUUGGGAGGAUGGCGGUCGCGGCGACUCGUCGCCGUGGCGCCCGCACUCCCGGGGCGCCUCGGCCUCCUGGCCGAGGCGCACCCGGAGCGUACACGUUGGGACCCGAAAGAUGGUGAACUAUGCCUGGUCAGGACGAAGUCAGGGGAAACCCUGAUGGAGGUCCGCAGCGAUUCUGACGUGCAAAUCGAUCGUCAGAGCUGGGUAUAGGGGCGAAAGACUAAUCGAACCAUCUAGUAGCUGGUUCCCUCCGAAGUUUCCCUCAGGAUAGCUGGCGUCCAUUUCGACCGGGACGAGUCUCAUCCGGUAAAGCGAAUGAUUAGAGGCCUUGGGGCCGAAACGACCUCAACCUAUUCUCAAACUUUAAAUGGGUGAGAUCU
rnacentral:rRNA from 1 species